rnacentral:lncRNA from 15 species
AUGAACGGGUCUCUGCCAGCGCUGCGGCGACCAAAACAAACCAGGGAUGCUGAUUCAUUGCUCAGCUUUGUGACGGAGCUUCACCCCAGCGACGUCACUCCUCUUCAAUCGAGGACAUCCCUUCCCUCUUAUCGGAAAUACUCGAAUGAUUCACCGAUCACACCACUUCUGGACACAGAUUGGGGGAUUUUGUUUCGCCGCCAACCGACGUCAAAUCAGCGAGCUAACGUCACAACAGAUUCGAGCUGUGGAGUGUAUUUUGGACCGGGGGACUAAAGCUACGGCCAAGUUAAAGCUAAGAUAAACAAGGGUGAGAAUGGCCAUGUUUCGAGAGAAGGAAUAUACCAGAACUAGAAGCCCUUGACCUCUUUUUUGUUGCUGUUUGGGUUUGGAUAUUGGCCAGACUUUGGAACCCAGCGACUUGCUGACUAUUAUUAUUCGUCAUAGUGUCCUUUGGGAGAUGCAGGAACUCUGAUGUUUGAUACUUUCUCAUCAGCUGCAUGGCAUAUGCAAGCAUUUGACUCACUCCCCAUGUCAUCUAAUAUUGAUGCAAUAAUUGACACGGCAAUUAAGAUCACAGUGCAACUUUCAAAAUAAAAGUAACUGAUCAGAAAAAUAACAGCAUUGGUUUUGCAGCGUAAUAUCUGGAUUCAGUUGACUACAUUUAGCAAUCAUUCAACAGAUUGGUGGCCAAUUUUCUCUUUAACAACCAUAACCAUUGUCAUAACCACAAUCUCUGCCUAACCUAAUCAUACUGUUGUGCAAAUAAUGUCUAUGUCAGGGUUUUAGGACCCGAAUUAUGACUCAUGUCGGUCAAGAGCAAGUAGCACAACAUUGUUUAGCAAAACCUCUUAGAUAGGAGGUAGGGGUGGUAGGGUUUGGUCACCAAAGUUGAAAGGAAACCACAGUUUGCAUCUUUUUUCCUUCUGACAGUCAAUGUUUCCUCAUAUUCAUGGGAUUUAGUCAUCUAAACCUAAACUAACGUAAACUUUAGCCAUGGUAGAUCCAAAAACAGUCAUAUUAAUCCAUUUUGUGAUGAACUUAUUUGUUUUGGAAUACACAUACAAACAAUGUUAUCCUGACACACUAUCAUUCUGUUCUUUUAGUUUAAAAUAUAGUGUAUGCCGUGUAUUUUGCCAUGUUUAGCCUUUCCUAUAGGAGCAGAACUCUUAAAUAAAUGAUGCAUCAGAGGGAAGUCUUGCCAGUAAAUGCAAACAAGAAUUAACUCACUCAUACUCCAGCCAGUGACCAAUUUAACUAGAAAUAUCUGAGUGGUAUGAAUAUGUUUGUAUUUCCUUGGAUAAAUCAGUGAAUAACCCUCUUUACUGUAACAUAAACUUCAAUAGUCAGUUUUGCCUGUAAACACAUGGACACAAUGUUUGGCCUCGCCCUCCUGUGUUCCUGCUCCAUCCUCACUGAUCACCAGCCUCCAGAUGGGGGGAUUUGUUUGCUACAGGGGUAAACAACUAGUGCCUGGGUGGCUCCUGGACUCCGUCCCCCCCCCUUUUCUCCAUGUCCUCGCAGUCUUGUGAGGACGAUGUGGUGAAGCCACAGACUUCUUAACCCUUUUUUCACCAUGCAGGCAAAAACGGACCAAGACACAUUUUUAUUCGCAACAACAGCCUGGACUCAUUUAGAAGCAAAGGAAACAAGGAUUCACACUCAGAUGUUCCCAGCUGGUGUAAGCAUUCAAAAUCCCUCUGGGGUCAGACGCCUUGGUGAGGAAACCAUUUCUCCUCGAGUGAUUUAUUCCAUAAGAUAAAACAGCAUGUUAUUGAAUCAAUUCCAUGUAUUCCUCUUCUCUUUUUCAGAUGUUUACAAAGGCUUGCACUUGUUGUGCACUCUUCUUGUACACCGCCGGGCCAUCACAUGGACUUAUGAGGGUGUUUUAAUGGGGCCGGAGCAUAACAGUUUAUGUUGGCCGGACUCUUCUUCAUCUACUCACUUCCUCCUUGUGUAGCAUUAUUUUUGUUUCUGUCAGCUCUCCUACUCAUCCAUCUCCCUCGCCUCGUUCCUUGCCCUCACGUUUUGUCCCUGUCUCAACUCUAAAUUAGUCUCUCCCCCCCCUUCUGCUCUUUCUCAACCACCCUUCAUUCAGUGCCUGAGUGCCAAUGUCUCUUUCUGACCAUCCAAAUCUGCUAUCCGCAAGUGCAGGUCACUGUCCCAUCAACAGAAGCAGCUGGGAGGAAGUCCUAUCUAAAGUGACUCUUGUCUUGACAUUGUCUCUUGAGGUUUAAUGCACACACUUUCAAGAGCCUUGGAGGAAGUCGGAUGCAAAGCCUGGAAAGUGAAGGAUGUUAUGCAAUGAACUCCAGUGGGGUGAAAUCUUGCGUUAAGACCCUCUCAAGUUCUAUACGAUCAUGUAGAGGAAGAUAAACUACACACAAAACGGAAGUGAAACUUAAAGUUGGCUCGCAGAAUAAACAGAAAAAGUAAAAAAGACGAGGAAAGAGCGUGCGUAUCUGUGUGUGUGUCUCCUACACAUAGAUCCAUUGGCGUGCACGUAGUUGCUCAUUGUGUGCUUGACUAUGUGCUGAGUGUGUUCUCUCGUCGGGUCCUCUCCCCUGUGUCCAUUAUGGUGAUAAGGCCUCCAUUGAAGUGCUGCCAGCCCACAGAUAAAGAGCCACAGAGAAACUUUCUGUGAACAUGCCGCUCCUGCAGUCUCCCGCCACCCCGCCGGUGCCAGGCUCCCAUCAACAUCCCCUCAGAAAACCUCCCUGUCCUCCGUUUCUACUAUCCUCGCUUCUCAUCUACUCUCCUCUCCUUUCUCCUUUCUUCUGCUUGUGCUGUUCGUUUGGGACUAAAAAAGACACACACUUGUACUUUUGCAUGGUUGAACAUUUCUAUGAUCAGUGCAGUCCAAAAUGACUGAAAUUUAACCAUUGUUGUGUUACUUUUAUUGCUUUUUUCCCUUAAGGAACCCCUUUUCUAUCAUUGAGUGAACUGACAAUCUUUGAUUAAGUGACAUAUUUUAUGGAUAUUUCAUAUUAUACUCAAUAACAGUACAGAACAACUGAUAAACUGUACAAUGAACACAAGCAGUGAAAGACAUAACUGUAAAACAAGCAAUUUGGAUCAAUUUCAAUCAGAUUAUUUCCUGUGAACACAAAUAUCUGAUAUUUUAGGAACUUAUUAUGAAAUCCUGUGUCUCAUUUCAAAUCAUCAAGUGAAGAUUCAGUGAAUAAAAAUAAUAACCACGUG